rnacentral:rRNA from 1 species
AUUGAACGCUGGCGGCAGGCCUAACCCAUGCAAGUCGAGCGAGCGGCGGACGGGUGAGUAAUGUCUGGGAAACUGCCUGAUGGAGGGGGAUCACUACUGGAAACGGUAGCUAAUACCGCAUACCAUCAGAUGUGCCCAGCUGGGAUGGGCUAGUAGGUGGGGUAACGGCUCACCUAGGAGACGAUCCCUAGCUGGUCUGAGAGGAUGACCAGCCACACUGGAACGGUGACACGGUCCAGACUCCGACGGGAGGCAGCAGUGGGGAAUAUUGCACAAUGGGCGGAAGCCUGAUGCAGCCAUGCCGCGUGUGUGAAGAGGGCCGGCGGUUUGUAAAGCACUUUCAGCGGGGAGGCGUUACCCGCAGAAGAAGCACCGGCUAACUCCGUGCCAGCAGCCGCGGUAAUAC